ACUCCCCCGAGCGGCCGGGGACGACGGGCGGGACUUAAGCAU
rnacentral:rRNA from 1 species